AUUGAACGCUGGCGGCAGGCCUAACACAUGCAAGUCGAGCGAGCGGCGGACGGGUGAGUAAUGUAUGGGGACUGCCCGAUAGAGGGGGAUAACUCCUGGAAACGGUGGCUAAUACCGCAUACUAUCGGAUAACCCAUAUGGGAUUAGCUAGGAGGUGGGGUAAAGGCUCACCUAGGCGAACAUCGCUAGCUGGGCUGCGAGGAUGAUCAGCCACACUGGGACGUAGACACGGCCCAUACGCCUACGGAGGCAGCAGUGGGGAAGAUUGCACAAUGGGCGAAAGCCUGAUGCAGCCAGGCCGCGUGUAUGAAGAAGGCCUUAGGUGUGUAAAGUACUUUCAGCGGGGAGGCGUUACCCGCAGAAGAAGCACCGGCUAACUCCGUGCCAGCAGCCGCGGUAAUUC
rnacentral:rRNA from 1 species